UGGUAUUAAGCUCUUUCAACUCCAGCUUUUGGGACUUCAAUGAUGGGACUUGAAAUGUGGGGGUUAUAAUGCUGCUUUAUUGGCUUGGUGACUCGCUUUGGAGCAUGCUUUUGAAAGGGGUUUUGCAGACACAUUUUUUUGAAGUAUAAUCUUACAUCUUUUCACAGUUGUUGCAUGCUCCACAAAGUAAGGUAGUCUUUUAGAGUCGGAUGCGUUGGUUUACCAAACUUGUCGACAAGAAAAAUAUCUUCUAGGUCUAGUUUGUAUAUUUUAAAGUUCUGAUCGCUUGGCCAACCUGCAACAACAAUCAGUAAAUUAAAAAACAGAAAAUGUUUGCAACCUGUGGAGGGCGACUUGGGCAAACUUAACUUCAGGAUCUUCCAGGCUGAUCCAUGUUAACUGUAAGCAUAUCAAAUUUAAU